rnacentral:lncRNA from 1 species
UUUUAAAAAUUAUGCAAAAAUUAUAUGUGGUAGAAAAGAGUUUUAUGAAAUUAUGAAAAAAAGUUGGAAUAAAAAAUAAUAAAGGAGCUAUUUAAAGAGAUUUUUUCGAAUAAAAAGGAAUUAAAUGAAAUAAAAAUAGAAAAAGAAAUAUUCAAAUUUAACGGCUAGUGAAGUGACGUGUUCUGAUUGGCCAAAGGAUUCAAAUUUCCCUCUGAAGCGCGCGAAGCAACUUCAUCUUCAACCUACGAAAUUUGAUUUUUUACAGGUUUAUGAACUUGAAGUUUUAAGCUC